rnacentral:snoRNA from 1 species
UUCCCAGUCAUGGAAAAUCAUCUUCUUGUUAUUGACAAAGCUACCAUCAUUCAAUUGGUAUCAGAUUCUGACAUGGACAAGUAACAUUC